rnacentral:rRNA from 1 species
AACGAACGCUGACGGCAUGCCUAACACAUGCAAGUCGAACGAGAUAUUCGGGUCUAGUGGCGCGCGGGUGCGUAAAGCGCGGGAAUCUGCCCUUCGGUUCGGAAUAACAGUUGGAAACGACUGCUAAUCCCGGAUGAUGACGCAAGUCCAAAGACUUAUCGCCAGAGGAUGAGCCCGCGUAGGAUUAGCUAGUUGGUGUGGUAAAGGCGCACCAAGGCGACGAUCCUUAGCUGGUCUGAGAGGAUGAGCAGCCACACUGGGACUGAGACACGGCCCAGACUCCUACGGGAGGCAGCAGUGGGGAAUAUUGGACAAUGGGCGAAAGCCUGAUCCAGCAAUGCCGCGUGAGUGAUGAAGGCCUUAGGGUUGUAAAGCUCUUUUACCCGGGAUGAUAAUGACAGUACCGGGAGAAUAAGCUCCGGCUAACUCCGUGCCAGCCGCCGCGGUAA